rnacentral:rRNA from 1 species
AAUGGGCGCAAGCCUGAUGCAGCGACGCCGCGUGCGGGAUGACGGCCUUCNGGUUGUAAACCGCUUUUGAUCGGGAGCAAGCCUUCGGGUGAGUGUACCUUUCGAAUAAGCACCGGCUAACUACGUGCCAGCAGCCGCGGUAAUACGUAGGGUGCAAGCGUUAUCCGGAAUUAUUGGGCGUAAAGGGCUCGUAGGCGGUUCGUCGCGUCCGGUGUGAAAGUCCAUCGCUUAACGGUGGAUCUGCGCCGGGUACGGGCGGGCUGGAGUGCGGUAGGGGAGACUGGAAUUCCCGGUGUAACGGUGGAAUGUGUAGAUAUCGGGAAGAACACCAAUGGCGAAGGCAGGUCUCUGGGCCGUUACUGACGCUGAGGAGCGAAAGCGUGGGGAGCGAACAGGAUUAGAUACCCUGGUAGUCCAAGGGCGAAUUC